AUCUCGCGGCCUAUCAGCUUGUUGGUGAGGUAAUGGCUCACCAAGGCGACGACGGGUAGCCGGCCUGAGAGGGUGACCGGCCACACUGGGACUGAGACACGGCCCAGACUCCUACGGGAGGCAGCAGUGGGGAAUAUUGCACAAUGGGCGCAAGCCUGAUGCAGCGACGCCGCGUGAGGGAUGACGGCCUUCGGGUUGUAAACCUCUUUCAGUAGGGAAGAAGCGAAAGUGACGGUACCUGCAGAAGAAGCGCCGGCUAACUACGUGCCAGCAGCCGCGGUAAUACGUAGGGCGCAAGCGUUAUCCGGAAUUAUUGGGCGUAAAGAGCUCGUAGGCGGUUUGUCGCGUCUGCCGUGAAAGUCCGGGGCUCAACUCCGGAUCUGCGGUGGGUACGGGCAGACUAGAGUGAUGUAGGGGAGACUGGAAUUCCUGGUGUAGCGGUGAAAUGCGCAGAUAUCAGGAGGAACACCGAUGGCGAAGGCAGGUCUCUGGGCAUUAACUGACGCUGAGGAGCGAAAGCAUGGGGAGCGAACAGGAUUAGAUACCCUGGUAGUCCAUGCCGUAAACGUUGGGCACUAGGUGUGGGGGACAUUCCACGUUUUCCGCGCCGUAGCUAACGCAUUAAGUGCCCCGCCUGGGGAGUACGGAAGCUUGGAAUUCG
rnacentral:rRNA from 1 species